rnacentral:rRNA from 1 species
CCUACGGGGGGCAGCAGUGGGGAAUAUUGGAUAAUGGGGGGAACCCUGAUCCAGCCAUGCCGCGUGUGUGAAGAAGGCCCUCGGGUUGUAAAGCACUUUCAGUGAGGAAGAACGCCUGGUGGUUAAUACCCAUCAGGAAAGACAUCACUCACAGAAGAAGCACCGGCUAACUCCGUGCCAGCAGCCGCGGUAAUACGGAGGGUGCGAGCGUUAAUCGGAAUUACUGGGCGUAAAGCGCGCGUAGGUGGCUUGAUAAGCCGGUUGUGAAAGCCCCGGGCUCAACCUGGGAACGGCAUCCGGAACUGUCAAGCUAGAGUGCAGGAGAGGAAGGUAGAAUUCCCGGUGUAGCGGUGAAAUGCGUAGAGAUCGGGAGGAAUACCAGUGGCGAAGGCGGCCUUCUGGACUGACACUGACACUGAGGUGCGAAAGCGUGGGUAGCAAACAGGAUUAGAUACCCUAGUAGUC